rnacentral:rRNA from 1 species
AUACCGGGGAUAGCCCAUGGAAACGUGGAUUAACACCCCAUAGUACUUUUAUCCUGCCUGGGAUGUGAGUUAAAUGUUCAAGGUAUCGGAUGGGCAUGCGUCCUAUUAGUUAGUUGGCGGGGUAACAGCCCACCAAGACGAUGAUAGGUAGGGGUUCUGAGAGGAAGGUCCCCCACAUUGGAACUGAGACACGGUCCAAACUCCUACGGGAGGCAGCAGUGAGGAAUAUUGGUCAAUGGACGAGAGUCUGAACCAGCCAAGUCGCGUGAGGGAAGACUGCCCUAUGGGUUGUAAACCUCUUUUAUAAGGGAAGAAUAAGUUCUACGUGUAGAAUGAUGCCUGUACCUUAUGAAUAAGCAUCGGCUAACUCCGUGCCAGCAGCCGCGGUAAUACGGAGGAUGCGAGCGUUAUCCGGAUUUAUUGGGUUUAAAGGGUGCGUAGGCGGUUUAUUAAGUUAGUGGUUAAAUAUUUGAGCUAAACUCAAUUGUGCCAUUAAUACUGGUAAACUGGAGUACAGACGAGGUAGGCGGAAUAAGUUAAGUAGCGGUGAAAUGCAUAGAUAUAACUUAGAACUCCGAUAGCGAAGGCAGCUUACCAGACUGUAACUGACGCUGAUGCACGAGAGCGUGGGUAGCGAACAGGAUUAGAUACCCUGGUAGUCCACGCCGUAAACGAUGCUCACUGGUUCUGUGCGAUAUAUUGUACGGGAUUAAGCGAAAGUAUUAAGUGAGCCACCUGGGGAGUACGUCGGCAACGAUGAAACUCAAAGGAAUUGACGGGGGCCCGCACAAGCGGAGGAACAUGUGGUUUAAUUCGAUGAUACGCGAGGAACCUUACCUGGGUUUAAAUGGGAAAUGCCGUAUUUGGAAACAGAUAUUCUCUUCGGAGCGUUU